AACAUUGCCACCCCCACCAUACUCAGUAUGUAACCAUUGGCAGUUUUGUGCCCUCUUGGCCUCUGUUCUCUGCUAGUUCAUUUGUUUUUUUUUUUUUUUUCACUUCUCCAUUCAGUGACGAUCUAAGGCUGUGUCUUUGGGGACAGUUGGUGUUUCAUAGGUGCUGGGGCAGGGGAUCCUGGGUGUAGAGCUUUUGCAGGCCUAGAUAUCCUUAUUUCAGGAAUCCUGGCCUCCUCUGGGCCCCUCCCAGGAAGCCGUGGGUGAGUGGGUGGGCUUGCUUUACUUCCACCCAGGAGGCCCCAGGCCUGCAAUUGCUCUCUCGGUACCAUCUAGCUCUCAGUUCCUCAUGCUUCCGUCCCAGCAUCCCCGGUGGUGUGGGGUCAGAGGUUGUGCCUGCUGAUUGGCCCUCACUGCCACCCUGUCCCAUCUACCAGUGCCUGAGCCCCGGAGCCAUUCACUCUCUGGUGAGCUCUCACCUGCAAGGCUGCUGUUGAAUCUGCUCUGUCAGUAGCUUGGGACUCCUGCUGUCAGGAUGCUUCAGAGAGAGAGCUCAUCUCCGUACCUGCCAUGCUUGGGACAGCCUGGUCAAACUGCAGAACUGUCUGCUCUCAGGUCCUGGCUGAGCUCCAGGUGUGAAGGAGCUGGGUGCUGGCCUGGCCACUAGUAGUGCUUAGCCAUGGAUGGGUCUCUGGGCUGUUCUGGAAGUGGCUAUUUCCCACACUGUAUGCACAUCACAUUAGGAUGAGCAAUGCUGUAAGGAGCUCUGAGGAAUAGGCCCCAGCAUCCUUCUCAUUUUCUCAGGGUGGACUUAUGUCAUCAGAGGGAGAUUUGCUAUUUACACUCCCUAGACACGGGCACAGGCAAUGCCUAGGCGGGGGCGGGGGGGGGGGGUAGUGUAUGAUGCUUUAUGAUCUCCACCUGUCCCUAGCUCAGGCCAUGCCAGAGCUGAGACCAUUUCAGAGCUCAGACCACAAUCACAAGAUGAGCCCCGUCUUUUCCAGGAUAGAGUUUUCUCUCUACCUUACCCCUUUCGUCGUCUUUGUCUUCUUCAUCAUCGUCUUCCUCUUUCCCGUCCUCUUCUUCCUCCUCUUCCUCCCUUUCCUCUUCUUCCUCCUCCUCCUCAUUUUAUACAGGGUCUCAUGUAUUUCAGACUGGCCUUGAACUGGGUAUGUAACCAAGAAUGACUAAGAGAGAGUUUAUGAUCCACCUCCCAAGUGCUGGGAUUUGGGAUUAGAGGUGUGGCCCUCAUGCCCUAUUUUAUGGUGUUUUGGGAUUAAAAAGAGGGCUUUAUGCAUAUCAGUGGGCAUCCUACCAACCGAGCCACAUCUCCAGCCCCAGGACAGAGGUUUUGUGUCUUUCUAAUGCUUUUAGGCUAUGGUGGGCAGGAUGUUGGGUGAGACCCGGCCUAUCAUGUGCUGUCUUCAUGGUUUUGGCCAUGAUUAUGACCUGUUUGGGGUCAUGGAUGCCCUCAGGGCUUUUCUGGCUUCAGGGCCCAGGUGACCUGCCUCCUCUCUCUCUCCUUUCUCCAUCCUCAUUGGCUUUUACACAGACCAAGAUUCUAGGCUCCUAGUUAGCGCUCAGACUAAGUGAUCCCCCAUCUUCGUCUUAUAGGUGAACAUGGAGCCACAUCAGCGGCUUGGCUUGACCGAGGUCAUAACUGAGGCAUAAUUUGUAACCUUUCUAGGCUCCACCGGGAGUCUGCAAGGAUGGGUGUAGUAAAAUUUCCACAGUGAGUUCAGCAUUUAGGGGGAGCGGCCCCAUGGAGGGCCAAAGGUCAGCGUUUGGGUAGCUGCGCUGUGGAGGACACCUGAGACAUCUCUUGUUCUUUCUGCCUGUGGAGUAGGUGUGUGCUCUGUGGCAGGGUCUGUGAGGGAUUCUUGGACUGUGUGAGCACCGGCCUCUCUGUUGGGCUGUGCUUGGCCACUAACUGGGACAGCUCAUUUCAGAGUUCUCAUGGCUGCUUGGAGCAGUUCAAGGAAGGACACGACUGUAAUGUUAGUUGCUUUACCCUGGAGGAGGGCCACUCAGGAAACUUGUCUGUGUCCUGAACUGUGCACACAGUGUGCAGCAUGUGUCCAAGCCUCGUGACAAGCAAUUAGCUACAUCAGUGCAGCAUCGGUAGCCACAGGGCAUAGUGGUCACUGGGCCUCUUACCCUUCUGGGGUUAGUAAGCUCUAUGAGAUGCACCAGGCUGUGCCAGGCUGCUCAUCAAUGUGACAGGGACGCCGAGCUACCCAGACCGUGAAGUGGCAGAUGGGAGUGUGCUGGUGCUACCCAGUUCCAGCUGGACACAGCCAUGCAGAAGGCUGCUCUGAGCAGUGUGAGCUCGUGGCUGGGAAGGCCUCGGGGCGCUCUGGCCUCAGCACAUGGAGGGGCUGGUUCAGAAGCCAUUGCCAGGAUUUGAUGCACAUCUUAGUUGUGUGGUCGUCUGGAGACACGCCUUUGGGAAGGCGCAAAGGCUUUUGAAGCUAUUGUCAUGGUAGUCACAGGAAGAGCCUGUGGGUCGUAAGUGGACCCUUUGAAAUGUGGACAAGGGAGAUUGGCGUGGGGUCCCUUAGACGUUCCUGAUUGGUACAUGACAAGGUGUGGGUAUAAGCCUGGGGUCAGCAUGGAAUCUCUAGUGUGUUGGCUUGCCCAUCACACCUGUCUCUCUGGGCACCGCAGUCUGUCAGACCAGGAGUGGCCAGAGCUUUUGUAGGACUGGGAGAAAAAGCUGACUACUUUAAGUGCUUUAAAUAGAAAGCUACAGGUGAUUUUUUUUAUUACUUUAAAAAACAUUUGUGUGUGUGCGUGCACCACAAGAGUUCAGAGAGGGUGCUGGGUCUCUUGGAGCUAGAGUUACAGACAAUUAUGAGCAGCCAAUGUGGAUGCUAGGAACGGAACUCAUUAUUACAACCAUCUAGGUUGUGAGCUAUCAUGUGGAUUCUGAGAUUUUAAUCUGUGUCUUCUGGAAGAGCAGCAAGUGCUCUCAACCACUGAGCCAUCUUCUGGUCUCUAUAGUUGUUGUUGUUAUUAUCAUUAUUAUUAUUAUUUCGAGAAAGGGUUUUCCUGUAGCCCUGGCUGCCCUGGAACUCACGCUGUAGACCAUGCUGGCUGGUCAAACUCAGAUAUUUACCUGCCUCCGCCUCCCGGGUGCUGGAAUGAAAGGAUAGAAGCCACAACUGCCCAGUCUCUGUAGCUUUAAUUUUUUAAAGCCUACUUUUAAUCAUGGUUCUUAAAUGCUUUAACCUCCCUUGUAGCCCACUACCCACUACAGGUAGUGAAAUAGAAAGGAAGAGGGGUGGGGGUGGGGGAAGUGGACCUGUUUAGAAAUUGUUCUUUGGAGCAAAUCCCAUCUGCGUAGUCAGGAAAUCAGCAGUUCAGUUUGCAGGACAGCAGCAGCAGCUUAAUCUACUUGCAAACACUUCUUGGAUUACCCCCCCCCCCCUCGCAGUCACGUUCAGUAGUGUUGGGCUAGCAGUAGCCCUGGCACAGCUUAGCAGGAACAACCAGGCCUCAGCUGAAUCGUGUCAGCAGGAGAAACCAGCAUCAGCAAGCACACCAGAGACGUUUCCUGCCAUGCUGCUCUCAGCCAAGUGAGGAUCAGCCAAGAUGGGAGACCAAGAAGCAUUUGCAGAGUUAGCUCUAUGAGCAAGCCCCUCUUACCAUCCCUUGGGUCCUAUUUAUGCUCCCUCCAAAGACCACCUGGCUUGCCUCAGCACUAGCAUCUGUCUCAGCUGACAUCACUCUGCCAACUGCCCUGAGGUUGAGUCUGCAGAAGCAGCAAGAAGCCGCAGCACACCACCAGAAGUUUUUUGGUGUGUUUCUCUCUAUGGAGUCCCGACAAAGGCAUCUCAACUACACAGUGUCAGGAAGACCAAUACGUGAGCAUCAUCAGUGAAGAAUCCUCCAUGUGUUUUUUUCACAUGCUUGCUCUAGCAGAACAUCCUUUUACCUGUGUUUGCUUCAGCAAAAUGUUUCUUCAUGUGUCUGCUUUGGCGAAACACCAUCUGACACAGCUGACUUUCCAACAAACCCUUAGGUUUCCACUUCAAGUCUCUGUAGGUUUAUUUAUUUAUUUAUUUAUUUAUUUAUUUAUUUAUUUCUGAGACAGGGUUUCUCUGUAUAGCCCUGGCUGUCCUGGAACUCACUUUGUAGACCAGGCUGACCUCAAACUCAGAAAUCCACCUGCCUUUGCCUCCCGAGUGCUGGGACUAAAGGCGUGCGCCAACACACCUGGCAGGUUUAUUUUUUUUAACAUACUAUUUUUAUUGAUUAUUUGAGACUCUCACAUCAGGCACUGUGAUGACAUUCACCUCCCAGCCCCUCCCAUGACCUCCCAUUCCCC
rnacentral:lncRNA from 1 species